GCUUACUCCUUACUGCUAAUGCAGAUGCAGAAUGUGUUCUUCUUACCCAUGGUGCCUCUGGCUAAUGGUGUUUAGCUCUGUGUCCCAUAUUCAGUACCUAGUAGCUGAACACAGGUCCUUCUGUGCACCCUAUACACACGCUGCUCAAUCUGUCUCCUACUGCAGGGUCUCUCCAUUUCCCACAUCAUCAAAGUCCCCUUAUUACUGCUGAAAGCCUCACUCGUUGAAUUGGUUUUGUGUCCAGUUGUGGUGGCCUCCCACCAGGUAUCAUCUGCAUCAGCAGGGAGCCAACUUUUGCAUCCCUGCCUGUGGAGAAACCUCUUCCGUUUCCAUUGCUGUUGCUGCACCCUGCUGUAGCUAGCCAGCCUCUUUGUGCUUGGAGAUGUCCUCAAAAAGCUUUUCUUCAAGUAUGAGUGCAGCGAGAUGGCUUGCAACUUACCCUUCGAUUGAAAGAUAGACUGUUGCUCUUUGGGAACAGAACAAGUACUUCAGAGGGUAUCUGGUGUUAAUCACAGAAUCCCAGAAUGGCUUGGGCUGGAAGGGACCUCAAACCAACCCAGUCCUACUUGGUGCCAUGGGCAGGGCUGCCACCCAGCAGCUCAGCUGCCCAGGGCUCCAUCCAACUUGUUCCUGAGCAUCUCCAGGGAUGGGGCACCACAGCUUCUCCGGGCAGCUGUGCCCUCUGAACAAAAGCACAAACCCGUAAAGCUUCAGUCGAUCCUUUAAAUUAAAAGACAAAAUUUGUCACAUACAGAGUGCUUUAAAAAACUGGAAAAGGGAGCUUUGUGGUUUCUGUGCCAUGGCUAGCUCAACAAGAGGUCCUGCUUGGAGUCCAGACAGUUUGAGCAUGUGUCCUGCUGCCUCUCUGUGUGCAGGCAUUCUGUUAAAAAUACACUUAAUUGCGUUUUUGUAGGUGUACAAGAUGGUACCACCACCACCACAGCCAGCCUUACAACAUUGUUUUCAUGUGUACAUUCUAAUGAAAGAACAUUUUGUUUAGCUUGUGAAAAGGUAAAUAUCUUAAAUCAUAGGAAAACAUACAAUGGCUGCAUUUUAUUGUAAACAAUGAGUGCUCACUACGAAAACACUAGAAGAAUACCACCCUCUUCCUUUUCCUGUUGAUUUUCCAUCCUAUACUUUUGGACAAAAUGGCAUUUCCCUCCAAGACUUGAUGCUCCAUUCUUUCCCAGGUCUUGUUACUGACAUAAUUUCCUAAGUUAUUGUGAUUACUUGUAUUGAUUAAUAUCGCCGGUGCACAGGAGGCUUAUACCAGCACCCAUCUUCAAAGCCAGGGUGGACGUCUUCGCAAGAAAUCUGGCUGCACACUCUGAACUGUAGAAUAGGGUGUGAAAGAUCAACAGUAAUAACUGUGUAUACCAGUUUUAUAAUGCCUAUUGAAAUCUAUGCACCUGUUUAUCUGGAUACGUUGUUUUAUACAGAGUAAGGAAAUUCUAACAUUGUAGUUAUUGCUGGAACUGAGUUGUGCAGAUCAAAGUGAUAAUUACUGUGUUCUAGAAAUCCCUGUUUUUGAUGAUGAGGUUUUUUUAAGCCUAUAACAACACAUAGAUCCAACUGCAAAAGCUUAAAAUUGCCUCUUCAACAGAAGCAGGGCUUUGAUUUCAUCUAAUUUGACCCUUCCACUGCACUUAUAAGUGCACUCCAGUGUGGCUAGAGAUAAAAACUUUGAAAUUUAAAUGUGCAACUUGCAGCUGAGGAUGGAUUUGCGAGCUAGGACACAGAGUACCUUUUGAUGAGCAGCAGUUUUCAUUACAGCUGUCAGAAAAUACCUCCCCAUUAGGAAGCGAUGAGUACAUUUAAUUCAAGUCCAACCCUUCCAACACCAUCACUUACAGACACUCUUCUGCUCUGUGAGUGAGGUUCUAAUAAUACACUGAGCCAUGUGGGACACACCAGGGUGAUUAAUGCUUGGAUGUGAGCAUACACUGCACUGAGUAUAUAUUUUCCCCUUAAAUGAAUAUAUCUGGUUUUCAUUGAUAUUGAGGUAGAUUUGCUCUGUACUUGCUCACAUGAGGAAGCCUAGAACUGUGGGAUCUAUCAUUCAGUAAUAGCUCCUGAUAACUCCAGCAGUCGGAACAUGGCAAAGUAAAAAAUGUGAAUUCAUAUUCACUUUUAAUAAACUGGGGUAAUUAGUCAGUUGAAAUGCAAUAGAAAGUGACAGCCUGUGACACAUAAAAGACUGCAGACUGACAAAGACAGAGCUAUUCUUCAUUGCACUAACAUCCGUUUCUUCAUCAACAUUGAAUUUUUUCAGUCUCUUGGCAUUUCAAUUACAUUAUAAAAUGAAGGGCUAAAAUCCUGGCUCUGCAUUUUUUCUUCUCCUCUUUGAGACUGAAGAAAAGAGAUGAGAAAAACCCUCUCCACAACGUGCUUCUGAACCACCUGAAAUGAUGCCAGUGUGCCCUGGCAUCCAGAGUACCCACAGUGUGUGCAGAAGGUGUUCAGCCUUGACAUCAUUAAGGUGCUGCUGGGAUGGUGAAAUCCCUCCAAAGAUGUUGGCUGGAAGACAAAGAAAAUGGAACAAAAUAGAUUAAAAAAAAAAAAAAAGUAGCAAAAUGUCUGCAACUUGAACAAAUUUAACCAUAAAUGUCGACAUAUCUCAGAAGGUCCUUCACUCCUUGCUCGUAUUAUGGGUACUUCUCUCUGCAUCCUGAGUGCCUGACACCUAAAAGGGACCAUCAGAGGCAGUCAAGUAGCUCAUUUCUGGCAGAAGGCAAUAUGUAUUCCCACUUCACCCACUACGCCUCUCCCCCAGCGCUCCCACCACUUGUCAGGAGGUACAGCAGGGUUUUGGGACACAGGAAACAGGGUGGCAGUGUGGCCAGAAGAAAGACAAGCUUGGACAUCAAGCCAGGGUCAGAUCAGUGAAGUGUGUUCAGGUCCCAAACUUUGCCAGAUCCAGUGGCAGCAGAGGAGGAGGACUUUCAGCUCAUCUUAUGGGAGCAGCAGCUAGUCAGAUGGCUCUGCCUAGGAAAAUCCUGGUUUGUGGUUCCCCUUCUUUUAUGGCGAGUAUUCAUAAGGUCCUUGUUUAGGGACAUAAAAGUGACAUCUUAUAAAUAUAUAGUAUGAGGCAGCUACACUUGUGUCAUCUCAGUAUUUGAUGAGGUUAAGCCUAUUCAGAGAGAAGCAGUACCAGUUGUUUGAUCACUUGAGACAAUGGUAAAAAAUAGACCAGUUGUCUGGCACUUGAGUGCUUCCUCAGGACUGAAACAGUCUCACUGAUAGCUUGAAGCAGCCCGGUGACCGGAACACUGCUGCUCUUCCUGCUGUUCAGGUCCUCUGAAAAUCCAAGCAUAAGCCUCCAGCAGAGAAAAAGAAGAGAAGAGAAAGUAUUUUUACAUGAAGACCAAAUGACUUUUUAAUCCUUUUUUUAAUGACAUCAGGAUAUCUUGCUGUGCAAAGCCUCAGCUUGUUGACUGGUGAAACAUCAGUGACUUACCUCCCAGGCGUGCUGUUUUGUUAAUUUUUAUAUAUGGUUUUGAAAACCUUGGAUGGAAGGCACCAAGGUUGAGCAGUAUAAUUUUCUCAGAAAUCUCAUGGUCUCAUUUGUUUCAGUCGUAUGUCAAAGCGGCUUUUAAUUUCUCAGUUGUGGGACUCAAGUCUUAAAAUACACUACCAGCCAGAAGCUCCCCUUUAAGUACCAGAAUGAAAGGGUCAGGUUUUCAAUUGUUUCCAGUCUCCUGCAGUUCCUAUUGUUUUAAUAGAGAAGUGCUGUUCAAAAAACUUAGUUCCCAGCUGUAGGUAUGAGCACUUCUACUGCUGUGACCUAAUACUUCACAGCACACUCGCUACUUCUAUCACCUCAGUGAAAAGGGAUCUGGAGGGGACUGGUAGUCCAACUGGCAUCCACAGAAAAAUGGUGAUGAACUGAACUGCUUCCACUGCCUCCUUUAGAGUCUUAUUUUUGAGUGAAACAGAAGUAAUCUUUGCAGAGAGAAAUUAGCUACUGCAUGUUUUCUGCAGUUUUUGCAAAUCUUAGAGAGGACAAAUGG